GCAAGCAAGCAGUCCGUCGCUCAUCCUGAGCAUCCUGAGCAUAGUCGAAGGACGAAGGAUGAGAGGAACUUCCCGACUCCUCGUUCGAUCUUGCGUCGAACAAGAUUGCCUCACGAAACAGCAAGUGAGGGCGCGCGCAGAGUAAUCAACGCGCGACGACAACUGCAACAGCAAGUAUUCCCGCUUUACGCAAGUAAAGUAAGGGCUGAAACGGUGAGGUAAAAGCUCACCAGCGUCGCGAGUGAUCGCGGCGGCUGGGUGAAUGUCCAAUCGGGAGCAAGGCGGGUGGGAUCGGCUCGCGCGCAAGCGCAGUUGAUUCCCGUCGCAGUCGCGAUGUUAAAGCCGAGCAACACUCGACACGAUAAUCGUGACCGCGCGAUUGAAAAAUCGCGCGAGACAGAUGACGGAUCAAACAGAAUCGGGGGUAGGGCUUGCUUGCCGUU
rnacentral:RNase_P_RNA from 1 species